rnacentral:rRNA from 1 species
AAUGAACGCUGGCGGCAGGCCUAAAACAUGCAAGUCGAACGCUCUAGCAAUAGAGAGUGGCGCACGGGUGAGUAACACGUGGGAAUAUGCCUUUUGGUACGGAAAAACGUCUGGAAACGGACGCUAAUACCGUAUGGUCCCUCCGGGGUAAGGAUUUAACCACAAAAGAUUAGACCGCGUCUGAUUAGCUAGUUGGUGAGGUAAUGGCUCACCAAGGCGACGAUCAGUAGCUGGUCUGAGAGGACGAUCAGCCACACUGGGACUGAGACACGGCCCAGACUCCUACGGGAGGCAGCAGUUAGGAAUAUUGGACAAUGGGCGCAAGCCUGAUCCAGCCAUGCCGCGUGAGUGAUGAAGGCCUUCGGGUUGUAAAGCUCUUUAGUCCACGAAUAUAAUGACUGUAGUGGAAGAAUAAGCCCCGGCUAACUUCGUGCCAGCAGCCGCGGUAACAC